AAAAAUCUCUGGCCGGUACCAAUUGUUCUCCAGGUUCACCUGUCCUGUAAAGGAGUAGAUUCACAUUUUAAUACUAAAGCUGGGGGUUACUCUCCCAGCGGCAGAGGAAGAAGACCCUCGGGACUCUCGCCUUUACAACGAAUUGUCCUAGGAGCCUUUCAAGAAGCAGAGCCGCCUCCCUUCAGGUUAUACCGGCAGGAUUUUCUUCCGAGCGGGGAUGGGAGAGCCACGGAGAAGAACUCCAGGACAGACGGGCAGGGAAGGGUCCGGACCUCCGUGGGAAUCAAGAGCGAGAGAGAAAGGCUUUAGCCACAGAGGCUGCAACGGCGCCGGUCAGCCAAAAAGAACCACUGCCAGUGCUCUUCCCCGCACCGGCCGGUAUUCACUAACCCGGGUCAGUCUAGCCAGGAAAACCGGCCCGUCCGUCUCCCUCGCCACCUUUCAAAGUUGUAUCCUUCUACGAAGUUGUUGGCGCCGCCCCCGUUGCUCCAUAGAUGAAAUGAAAAUGUGGCAAAUCCUAUUGCCGGAAUCGGCCGUGGUUUACCCAAAUUGUGGUUUCAUGAAGUAAGUAUUUUGCCUGAUCUGUAAUCACCCUGUGCUCAAGACUCUGAGUCAGGAACCAGCAGAUCUCUUUCAGUGAAUUCAGAAUACAGAUCAGACCCAGUGAAUUGUAGGAAUCCCACGUAGCCCAUCGUCUUGUCACUCUAACAAUUUCUGGCUCUAUCAAAUUCGAGGUCCCCGGACGCUGCCGAAAGGAAGACAAGACUUUGGCGCAUGCUCGUUUUGUUCUGUGGCGCUUCCUGUUUUCUCAUUUGCUCGACGCUUUUGUUCGCUAUAUAUUAUUAUAUAGCAAAAUGCAAAAAAUUUAUGACCCUUGUGUUAUAAUUGGGAAGGGUCUGUUUUAUCUGUUUUUUUUUUUUUAAUAUUUCGUGUUUACUUUCUAAUGCACAAUCUUCUGUAUGCAUGUAUUUCAGAUUAAACUGUUGCUUAUAUGCUGU